rnacentral:ncRNA from 1 species
AUUUGUACUUGAAUACUGGCUCGUAUAAUCCUGGAGAUAUGGUCUGGGAGUUUCUACAAGGGAACCGUAAAUGCCCUUACUAUGAGUGGAAGAAUCCUAUUC